UGAGCCUUCCUCACCAAAGAUGACGACGACUGCGUCGCCAUGCUCUGCAAUAAAAGAGAGCUUCGCCGUGAGUGUCGCUCCUGGGAUUUCGUUUGUGAAGUUUAGCCAUCGGUUGAGGUGAGUUCAGCUGAAUGUUCACCUGCGGGAGUGAGCACCAGCGCUUGCAAGAUGUCUGAAAGUGACACUAUUCCUUCUACAACAUCGCUCUCGUUCACCACCACCAGACGAUGAACCUGAAGACGCACAAAGAUGGACACGCACAGGCUGUAAAGAAAACACAUGAACAAUUGGGAGAAAACCCGACAUAAAGCAGAAACAGUGGAGUGGUCUCCAGGCGUUCGGCAAACCAAGAGAAGGGCCCAACACCAGAAGGUGGUGGAGACCGCGAGGACAGAUCCUGGGAGGUCACCGUGUGUCUACUGUGCAGCAGCAGCUGUGGUAUCUGGCAGAGGGUGGAAAACGCUGGAGAGGAGCGGUGGUGCAGUGCUGGUGGCAUCAACGGCUCUGGCCAUGGACUCGAAAAUACCUUGAGAUAGGGCAUCAACGCAACUCUGUGUACUGCCACGUACUACCCACGUAGCCCUACAGGUUGGGCAUCUCGUGCAAUCGGUGAUCCUGGUGCGAUCUGCUAACCCCACUUCAUAUUCUCCGAAUGAUCAAAGCCCAAAAUUUACUUCCAUUAAAAACAUUUAUAAUAAAUACCAUUGUUUUAUGGCACAAUACAAUGGAAAAGUUGUCAAACUUAGGAGAAAUAUGCAUUGUCGAGUGAAAUAUGUCAUUACUAUACAUAGGGCAUACGAAGAGGAACACGUGGAUUAGGGUUUGAGACAACAUAUUGACCAUCAAGAAAAAUAAUUGUCAAUGGGCAAGACACGUCGCAGGAAGGGAUCAUAGCCAGGUGGUUGAGCAGAAUGACAGAAUCGCAAAGGAGGGAACAUGCCCGAGAUUCUGUCCACCGUGGUGAUGGAGCGGUGAAAAUAAUCUCACGUGUAAUUGCUAUAUGGAUUGUUGCACCGCAAUAUGGUGAGAUAUGGUGACAGCUUGGGGGAUGCCAUAAUCCAGCAGUGGAUUGAUCAUAACUCAUGAUGAUGUAGGAUAGUAUAUCAAUUAUCUAGACAGCUGGCACUGUGGUCGAGUGCUCAGCACAACUGUUAAGCCCUGAGUUCAAAUUCCAGUCAGAUAGACCAGGGGUCAUUCAAAUGAACACCACUUGGCGGAAUAUCACCAACAUCAAUAUUACGAAUAAACUGGCCCCUUCCAUAAGUAAGUGGAAUUUCCUAAUUUAGCUCAAAUCACCACCAUACCCUCAUUUGAGCAUGGAUCGUGGUGCAAUAUAUCUGAAAAAAGGCCAAGCUGAUGAAAUCCAAGUAUCUAUAGAAAGUAAAUCACCAUAUAGAUCAAUAACUGUAAUCAAUUAAGCAGUCAUAAGAGUGUGUGGUGCAUAGGUCAGCAUGAUAAUUCAAGCUCGGGUGGCUGGAAUCGUUAAAUCGUAACGCAAUACAACCGCACAGAGUUUUGAAGUGGGGGGGGGGGGGUGCGGUUGAUGGCAUUUCCCCAACGAACAUUUAUCAUUUUUCAAAGCUUGAUUCGCGCUUGAGCACCGCUGCCAAUGCAGUCGCCUAAUUAUUUUAGCCGUUCAUUUUCACUCUCAAGAAGGGGCCAGACCGACAAUGUUAACGAUUAAAUUGUGUUGUAAGGCAACCGACAAUCACAGUAUUUAUUUAUACCGGAAGAAUCCGUUGAGCUAUAAAGCUCUUUCUCACAGAUGUCCGGUAGACCAAGGAAUGGAACACAUCUGAGAGGACGUCCACCAGAGAUGAAACGAUGAAAUCGGCUCGUGUGCAGGGUGCCGGGUGUGACUGUGAGAGGUGGUCUUGGGGAGGGGCCUUCAUCCAGCAGUGGACUGACCAUGGCUAAUUGAUGAUGAUGGCAAUAUUAAUGAUGGAUGUGGUGAUUUUUUUGGCUAUUUGUAGUUGCACACUACUGCCAACACAUAUUUUUCUUCUUUUAUAAACAGACUUUGAUCA